rnacentral:rRNA from 1 species
CAAUAGCGUAUAUUAAAGUUGUUGCGGUUAAAAAGCUCGUAGUUGGAUUUCUGUUGAGGACGACCGGUCCGUUCGUUUGAGCGUGUAUCUGGUUCGGUCUUGGCAUCCUCUUGGGGAACGGUGCUGUGCUUAGGUGCAUAGGCCGGGAUUCAAGACUUUUACUUUGAGGAAAUUAGAGUGUUCACGGCAAGCUAUCGCUUUGAAUACAUUAGCAUGGAAUAAUGACAUAGGGCGUGAGUUCUAUUUUGUUGGUUUCUAGGAUUUACGCAAUGAUUAAUAGGGAUAAUUGGGGGCAUUCGUAUUAACGCGUCAGAGGUGGAAUUCUUAGAUUGCGUUACGACGAAACUACUGCGAAAAGCAUUUGCCAAGGAUG